AUAAUAAAGAUGUUCACCAACCAAGUGUGGUGUUUUGCAAACUUAUUUGAUCUAUCACCAUGCUGGUAGGUAGCUAGAGAAGGCUUGGCCUACUAUGUUAGAUUUGACUAGGUGGUAAACAACUACGGUCCAAAGUGACUUUUCGUAGCAGGUUGGAGAAUUUAUGCAGCGGGUUAGGAUAAUUAGGUUAAGGUUAGGAAAGGUUUAGCAAAAAUGCUAAAAUUCUCCCCAACAUGCAACUUUGGACGUCCCUUUGGCUGCGUUAACACAGACAGAUGAAUUUGGAUCUUCUUUAUUUUACCACUAAUUGGUCUUUUGAUCAAUUAGAUCAGCUCUAAUGCCAAUAAUUGGGCAAAAGAUCAGAAUUAGGCUGGCUGUGUAAAUGCGGCCUUUGACAUAAACUGUAUCCCAUCUAGCCAAUCGCAUCAAAAAAAAAUUGAGAACUGGUCUGAAUGGCUAAAAUACCAAUUAGUGGGGGAAAAAAUAUCAGAAUUGCAGCCUGUUGGCCAUGUUGGUUAGAUAAUUGAUUACUGGUAGUUGCUUGUUUGUACCUCGUGCUCUGACGCAAACUCAACUCUCAAAAUAUUGCUAUCCGUGGUUAGCAGCUAGCAAAAAGGCGGAGAAAGUGUGCGCGCCAAAGUGUUUUUUGUUUACAAAUUCGCCAUGGCCCAAAGUAUUGACGGUGACAGGCGCAGGUCGGGUCAGACUGGGAAAAGUCUAUGCCAAUGCCAGAGUCCCCAUGACAACGAUAAUGUGGUCAUGCACGACCCUGAAUGCAACGCCAUACUGGAACUAGAUUCUUCAGAAUCGUCUGAGGAAUCUUCAGAAGAAGAAAUUGUGAAGUGUUCUACAGAGCCGGAGGUUGUAGGCCCAGCCAUGGAGCUGGAAAGGAGGAUUGAGGAGAUGAGGAGGCGAAAUGAGGCUUUGUUGAAAAGGUUCAAAGAAGUUGAGGAGGACAGGAGAAGGGCUGAGCGUAGGGGGGCAGCCCUGCUGCCCAAAAGCACCAAACUGGUCAAAACCAGUUAUUCAGCUCAUACCACUGAUGUGUCGGACCAGUGGGAGAGCCUCACCAUCACCGUAAUGAACCAGGACACCCGUUUGGUGGCAAGGCGGUCUAAUGGAGGCAGAAGGCAGCCCAAAUCACGGAGGUUGGAGGACCGCCUGGAAAAGAGAUGUGGGGAGGAGAAAAACAUUUUGGAGGAAAGGCAACUGAUAAUCUGCACUAUAGACAACGGUGAGGAUGCAGGAGACUACUGCACUGACCACAGUGGCAGCACAUCGGACGUAGAGAGGCGAGAGUACCUACGCUGGAAGAGACGCAACCGCUCGAUUGUGGAACUGCUCGACCAACACCAGGACAAUCUGGCAGUACACCUACAGAGCAGCAGGGAGCAGAUGGAACUGCUCGACCAGGACGACCUGGCAGUACACCUCCAGAGCAGCAGGGAGCAGCGUAAGAAGGCCCGUUAG
rnacentral:lncRNA from 1 species